AAAAAUCUAAAAAUUUGAAAUCCAAAUCCGCGCUCAUCGCAAUCAAAUCUUCACCGUCAAUAAUCAAAUCCCAUCUCUCUCCCUCCGGCUUCCUCACAGAACAGAAUAUUCGCAGUCUUCUCUUAAUUUUUGUAACUCAUCAGUGAACUUAUUGAUUAUUAAUUAAUGGCGUCGAUUCCUUAAGGAGGAGGAGGAGAAGAAGAAGGAGGAGGAGAAAAUGACGACUACGAUAGAGAAGCUGUUUCUUCAGAUCUUUGAAAGGAAGUUAUCGAUUUUCGAGCAAGUCAAGCACCAAACCGAUCUCUUCGAUCACCGCCUCGCCUCUAAAUGUGUUCUUGAUGGAACUGCCCCUCCUCCCUGGCUCCUCUCCCCGUCUCUCUCCUCCCUUCCAAAUGAAAAUAAAGAGGAUCUCAUAUCAGGACUCUUACUGCCGCGUCUUCACCCUGCAAACCCUUAUUCCACUAGUGCCUACUCAGUACAGCCUGUUAUUACUACCAAUACCAGUGACCUGCCAAGUGGUUUACACACAGAACUUGGCCUUGUCAACAAAAGAUUCGAUUCAGGUUAUAGACUGUCUGUUUUGUCACAGUUACCUGUUAUUGAUGGCGUUCAAUGUAACUUAAAUGGAGUUCCUGAGCUGGAAUUUAAUGAUGCGUCUCCACAAGAUUGUAGAGAUGCAAGAAUGCCAGACAUUGUACCUGAUCACAGCCAAUCACUGGCGAGGAUUCAUAGAUCCAAAUCAAGGCAAAAGGCUCUGGAGCUUCGCAAUAGUGUGAAAACGGGUAAAACCUGUCCACGUGCUGAAAAUAAUGUUGGUUCUUGUACUAGUCGAUUUAGAGGGUCUGGGGUUACUUCUCUACAGUUUGACCAUGUUGAUCAGUCAGAGUCGCUCAAACUUCUCAAGGCAAGUAAUAAAAGUUGCAUCGGAGAAGAGGUGAAAGUAGGUGAAUGCAUGGUAAAGGAAAACUCUAGUGAUGUUUACCAUGGCAGAAGUACAAGAUCUAGAAGUUCUAGACUCAAAGCCAGCUAUGUAAGUUCUAGACUUAAAGCCAGCUAUGUGAAUGAGUCCGGGAAUGUGUGCACCUCUACUUGCCUUGCCAAAGAAGAUGAUCCUAGAGAGUCUAUUUCAAAACGACAGCCUAACCAAGUUGAGUUGACAGAACUUGUUUCUGUUGUUGGUCAUGCAAGUUCUGAAGCACAAAUGGAAAAUGAAGACAAUCACAGGGGCAAUGAAAUGGCUACCAUCAUGUAUUCUGUUGGAGUUCCAAGAUGUACGAGUUCAAGCCCUCAACCCAACUCUACAAGGAAGCCUCUGGACAUGAAUAAUUCUUCCUAUAUCGACAACAAAGACAGUAGGAUUAGAGAGUCUAUUGAUGAUCCAUCACUGCAGCCCAAUUGUGUCAAUGAGAUAUCAGAAAUGGCCAAACCUUCAUCUGUUAUCUCCAAUGACAGUUAUGGAAGGGUGAAAGCAAAAGUAAGUGAUAACUGGAGCGAGGAAAAGGGAAGCGGGCUUUAUUUUGGGAGAAUAACAAGAUCUAGAAGUUCCAGCCAACGAGCUGACUUUGUGAAUGAAUCUUUGAAGCUGGACGGCUCUUGCAGUAAUGCUGAGGAAGAACCAAGGCAGCUUUCCAACCCUGUUGAUGACUUUAGGGAAUUGGUUAAACCUUUCAACAUCACUGAUGAAAGUUGUGAAGUGAAUGAAAAAAUGAUGAACUACCAGAACAGUGAAGAGAGAACUGAUUCUUAUUAUGGAAAAAUAACAAGAUCCAGAAAUUCCAAUCAGCAACUUGGAGUUGAUGGGCUUCCAAUACUGGAUACUUCAUCUAAUAUAGCAAAGGAUAAUGAUGGUUCACUCUCACAGUCCUUCGGCAGAUCUUCAAAACCUCAUCAAACAUUGAAUCAGGUUAGAGAAGAAGGUGUUGACCUCCAGGAAGUGUUGGGUACUCAAGCAAAUGCCCUGCCCUGUAUUGAAAGAAAGGACAUGGUUGACCUGGGUAUAUGUGACGCAGUUGUUGCAGAAACUGAUAUCGAUUCUGAUGGGAUAGUUGAAGCUUGUUCUGUUACUUCCAGGUCUAACUCAGAUGGUCCCAGUUGUCGAAUGGAAGUUCCAGUCUCAAGGCCAGCCACUGACUGUGUUAUGCUAGUGAAGCCCAAGCAGCUUGAUUUUGAUGAUGUGGAAGACUGCGGUUGGAAUGAAAUUGGUGAUCCUGCAUCAGAGAACAAACAACAGUCUCUAUCAUCAGAGAGACGGGCUUCUACCUUGUUGCAUUCAACAGUUAUAUUGGAUAAAGUAUCUGUUAACUCCCAAGAAAAGCCCAUCUUGUCCGUUGAGAUGCCAUUGCUUGAGGACCAGGCAGUUUUUAGUAAAGAAGAAAAACCUUGGAAUGAUUCAUCUGAAGCUUUUGUUAAUGAGACUGCUCUUUUUGUUGAUGAAAAUACGAACUCUGUGCAUAAGAAAAUUAAUUCAGCCAUUUCUAAAAACCAAAAUGGAGAUUGCUACGUCAUGGGUUCAUGGCCUCAGCAUAAGAGGAGAAAGAUAGCGGGUCAACUGACUAGUUCCUUUUAUGCUUCUACAUGUUUGACGAGAAAGCCGUUUCAGCCUAUUGUUACGGAUCAUGUAAAUGGAAAUAUUACUACUAUGGAAGAUUCAGAUACUGUCCAAAUAUCAAAAGGGUUUUAUAUGUCUCAUAUGGGGGAUGACAUGCAACCAAAUGCUAUCAAGAGCUCAGUUGAAGACAUUCAUCAGAACUCAGGGCCCCCUAUGGCAUGGCCUGAAUUCUCAUCACCAAAGCUGCAAGUUGAAAAGGUUGAACCUGGCUUGGAAGGAAGGAGCGGAAGUGCAAAUAAAUGUGGAGCACGCUCACCAUCAGGUUUGACAAAAUUAUCCACUGGAGUUUCUCAAGCUAGUUCAUUGGAAAAAGUUCCAGUGGAAAACCCUACUAGUGUGAUCUUCGAUGAAACAAGGCAGAACACUGCAGAAAAGAACCAGGUGUCACUGCAACUUGAAGAUAGAUUUGAACUGGGAAGUUCUGAACUUUUGACUUGUACUGAAACAGCCAUGCAGGAAAAUAGAUUUCAUGUAGGAAGGAAUGGGAAAUCACUGUCUAAUUCAGUUAGUUCUCCACAUAGUCAAUCAAUGGAUUUGAUUGGUACCGAUCAAAGUAUGCCUGUAUAUGAGUGGUUUGGUAUGGAAACUGAGGGAAUUGACUUUGAGAAAUUGGAUCUUUCAGAUAAUGCACUAGAAAGUGCAAUUGCUGUGGAGCGGCUUUGCAAAUCUGUUUGCCUUGAAACACCUUUGUCCCAUUUUGCUACUGCAUAUAACAAACAUAAAACACUAAAUUUAUAUCAGUCUGUCCCAAAUGGAGUUUUAGAAGCGAUGGAGUUGAGCACCACCGUUAACACAAACAGUAACACUGGCAAGGAGCUUGAGGCCAGUUUUAAGUGUUUCAAUGACAAAGUCAACGACACCUUGCAUGGGAGGCUGCAUUCUGACUCCCCAGCUUAUUCUAAUGCUCCAUCCACGUGGGAAAUCAGAAAACCUUUAAUGUCUCCAGUUGGGAAGCUCUGGGAAGGAAUCACAUCAAGGUCUGGUAGUUCAGAGAAGAGAGUGAGCUCAAUUCCAGAUCUUCCCUGCAUCAGUGAAGAAAAUGAGAACAUCAUUGAGGUACCUGAAACAUUUAAGGAUGUUGUUGGUUCAGAUCAGAUGAUCAGCUCAGUCAAAAGAGGGUUGCUUGCUGAUAUUACAAAUAAUCCUGAUCCUCCAAUAUCAGUUUAUGAGUCUGAGAUAGUCAGUGAUAGAUACAGUCUUACUUCUGUGAACACAGAGUGUAGCUACACUGGCACUUGUAGAAGGGACAAAUUGAACCAUGGAAACCAGAAGGGCAACAGAAGAAAAUAUAACAUUAAGGCAAAGGAGAAUCAGAACCUAGUGGGUGUAAAUGGUGUCAAAAGAGCCAGUGAAUCUCACCAUAACAGAUUGAGCAAGCCAAUCUUAUCUGGAAAAACGAGUUUGAGAAAAGGAGGUCUGAGUCUUGCGGAGACCAAGUCUAAACUUAACAAUAUUGUGUCAAACAUUACUUCUUUUAUUCCACUUGUGCAACAAAAACAAGCAGCCGCAGUUGUUACAGGGAAAAGAGAUGUUAAAGUGAAGGCCCUGGAGGCUGCUGAGGUUGCAAAGCGUCUUGCAGAAAAGAAAGAAAAUGAAAGAAAGAUGAGGAAGGAAGCCUUGAAAAUUGAGCGAGCAAAGAUGGAGGAACAAAACUUGAGGCAGUGGGAGCUAGAGAAGGAAAAGAAAGACCAAGAACAUAAGAGAAAAGAGGCAGAUAUGGCAGCAAAGAAAAGACAGAGGGAAGAAGAAGAAAAGAAGGAGAGGGAACGGAAAAGAAAGCGUGUUGAGGAAGCUAGGAGGCAGCAGCAGAAGCAGCAGCUAGUGCACGAGGAAAAGUUACGUGCUGAGAAAGAAGAGAGAGAGAGAAAACACCGAGCUGCAGAUGAAAGAGCAUUCGAGAACAAGAAAUCUAAGGACAAAUCAGGAAAGCAUGUUAAGAUGGAAAAAGAAAAGGGAGACAACAAUCUUCAGAAGGUGCCUGAGAGUAAACCUAUGACUUCCAUGGUUUCAACAAUUGAUGAUGGAAAAUCAGAGUUGGGUGAUUGUGGUGAUAAUUCAAAAGAAGAAAUGACUGUCUUUUCCAAGGCAGCUGAGAAUGGCAACUUAAUGUCUAACAUAAGCCGAGAACAGGCAUAUGAGAUUUCUCCAUACAAAGGUUCGGAUGAUGAAGAUGAAGAUGACGAGGAUGAUGAGACAGAGAAUAAUAAAUUUAUUCCGUCAUGGGCCAGUAAAAAUCAUUUAGCUUUGAUUGCUUCUUCCCAGCAAAGCAUAGACCCACGAACCAUUUUCACCCCAGACAGCUUUCCUGAUAAAUCUGAAGUUCUUUUGCCCAGAAAACUUCAGCAAAAACAGCGGGCACACCAAUGAAGUUUGAUAGCAUUGUAUUUUUUAGGUCCUUCAGCAAUAACUUCAAACCCUCGUCCAGUAAAAGGUUUUGAUGAAGACUUCAUUUGUAAUUCAUGGGUAGGUGAAUUCAUAGCACACAUAAGUAGCUUAGAAUCUUAGGUUUUCAAUCAUGUGAACACUUUUAUAAUGUCUCGAUUAGCUUUUUUGCAAAGCCAGCAUGCAUAACAAACUAUCCCGUUGUGUUGAUGUACCCCUGGUUGUCCAGUAAGCUGUCAAAGCGGGAAAAAGCUUCAUGUUCAUCAACAUGAAGUUGCAAAAACAGAGCAUUAUUAUUAAUAUGUAGUUUUCAUUGUGUGUGGAGGAAAUUUUCUAACCGAGGAUUUAGAGGAGUCUUAAACUGUUCAACGUCCUGCCGCUGUCAUUUCCAGAUGCAAGCGGAAGGUAAAGUGAUAAAACCUAGACUAGACCUAGAACCAAUUGUAAUGCUGUCUUUCAACUGAGAACAAAUGUAGCUCUAAUAUUGUUACCUUUAAUUUCAAAAUCCUGUAUGUUUCACAGUAUUGUCUAGUGUGUUUAAUUUCGUCCUCAGUGGACUGUAUUGAGGCCAUGCUUGCUUAAACAAUAGAGUAAAAACAUGAUUUCUUCAUUAAUACUCAAUGUUUUCUUAGACCA